rnacentral:sRNA from 1 species
CUAGGAUUGGAGCAUCCAGAACAGAGUCUCUUCAGCCUGGGAAGAGCGGGGACUUGAGCUUGGAGGGAGCUGGAGUGGCCGCUUGCUGAGUCUUUCUCCCUGGAGCCCAUGGGCAGCUGGUUACCUCGCGCCGGGGCGACCCUGACUUAGGACCUCCUGCCGUUUCUCUGGGUGACUGCUCUGUAGUCGUGCGUCGUCUCUUUAAUGCUGAGCAUCAGUACCUGCACAGCCCUGAAUGGAGCAGCUGCCCAGAAUCUGUCUUGUCAUCGAUAGAUGGACAGUUGCCGAGUGUCCUGCGUGCCAACUGACUAAGGAGUUUUUGUCUCUGUCACCCUGUCCCCUGUGGUUUUAUUCAGACAUUAGUUAUGAAUCCGUGUUUAGGAUGAGAAGAUGUAAACAGUGAGGAGGAUAAGUGAGAAGUUAGCAAGAGUCUGGAUGGUGAUGGCGGGGGAGCGCUGGUGGAGGAGUCGGGGGCGUCCCGCUGGACUGGGGCACAGCUCUGCAGCAGCAGCCGGUGCGGUUUUGCCUUGUAAGUGACACCGUUGCCUGCAGGCAUCUCUGACAGCUGCUCCUGCUCCAGAUUCCAGAAAUUUCUAUGGAACAUUUCCUGAACCAUCCUCCUGGUUUCUUCCCUUCCCCUCACUGAAUAAAAUCCGUAAUAGCA